UACAGAGGGGGCAAGCGUUGUUCGGAAUUACUGGGCGUAAAGGGCGCGUAGGCGGCCCGCUAAGUCGAACGUGAAAUCCCCGGGCUCAACCCGGGAACUGCGUCCGAUACUGGCAGGCUUGAAUCCGGGAGAGGGAUGCGGAAUUCCAGGUGUAGCGGUGAAAUGCGUAGAGAUGGGGGAGAACACUCGUGGCGAAGGCGGCCAGCUAGACCAGUUCUGACACUGAGGCGCGACAGCGUGGGGAGCAAACAGG
rnacentral:rRNA from 1 species